AUUGAACGCUGGCGGCAGGCCUAACACAUGCAAGUCGAACGAGUGGCGGACGGGUGAGUAAUGUCUGGGAAACUGCCUGAUGGAGGGGGAUAACUACUGGAAACGGUAGCUAAUACCGCAUACCAUCAGAUGUGCCAAGAUGGGAUUAGCUAGUUGGUGGGUUAACGGCUUACCAAGGCGCCGAUCCCUAGCUGGUCUGAGAGGAUGACCAGCCACCCUGUAACUGAGACACGGUCCAGACUCCUACGGGAGGCAGCAGUGGGUAAUAUUGCACAAUGGGCGCAAGCCUGAUGCCGCCAUGCCGCGUGUAUGAAGAAGGCCUUCGGGUUGUAAAGUGCUUUCAGCUAGGAGGCGGUACCCGCAGAAGAAGCACCGGCUAACUCCGUGCCAGCAGCCGCGGUAAUUC
rnacentral:rRNA from 1 species